CCUACGGGAGGCAGCAGUGGGGAAUAUUGCACAAUGGGGGAAACCCUGAUGCAGCGACGCCGCGUGAGUGAAGAAGUAUUUCGGUAUGUAAAGCUCUAUCAGCAGGAACGAGACAAGACGGUACCUGACUAAGAAGCCCCGGCUAACGACGUGCCAGCAGCCGCGGUAAUCCGUCGGGGGCAAGCGUUAUCCGGAAUCACUGGGGGUAAAGGGAGCGUAGACGGCUGAGCAAGCCUGAAGUGAAAGGCGGGGGCCCAACCCCCGGACUGCUUUGGGAACUGUACGGCUGGAGGGCAGGAGAGGGAAGUGGAAUGCCGAGUGUAGCGGUGAAAUGCGGAGAGAUUAGGAGGAACACCAGUGGCGAAGGCGGCUUACUGGACUGUAACUGACGUGGAGGCUAGAAAGCGUGGGGAGCAAACAGGAUUAGAUACCCGAGUAGUC
rnacentral:rRNA from 1 species